UAAUUGAAGAGUUUGAUCAUGGCUCAGAUUGAACUCUGGCGGCAGGCCUAACACAUGCAAGUCGAGCGGUAACAUUUCUAGCUUGCUAGAAGAUGACGAGCGGCGGACGGGUGA
rnacentral:rRNA from 1 species